GACGAACGCUGGCGGCGUGCUUAACACAUGCAAGUCGAACGGAAAGGCCCUGCUUUUGUGGGGUGCUCGAGUGGCGAACGGGUGAGUAACACGUGAGUAACCUGCCCUUGACUUUGGGAUAACUUCAGGAAACUGGGGCUAAUACCGGAUAGGAGCUCCUGCUGCAUGGUGGGGGUUGGAAAGUUUCGGCGGUUGGGGAUGGACUCGCGGCUUAUCAGCUUGUUGGGGGGGUAGUGGCUUACCAAGGCUUUGACGGGUAGCCGGCCUGAUAGGGUGACCGGCGACAUUGGGACUGAGAUACGGCCCAGACUCCUACUGGAGGCAGCAGUGGGGAAUAUUGCACAAUGGGCGGAAGCCUGAUGCAGCAACGCCGCGUGCGGGAUGACGGCCUUCUGGUUGUAAACCGCUUUCGCCUGUGACGAAGCGUGAGUGACGGUAAUGGGUAAAGAAGCACCGGCUAACUACGUG
rnacentral:rRNA from 1 species